GUCCAGACUCCUACGGGAGGCAGCAGUGAGGAAUAUUGGUCAAUGGACGAGAGUCUGAACCAGUCAAGUAGCGUGAAGGAUGACUGCCCUAUGGGUUGUAAACUUCUUUUAUAUGGGAAUAAAACGUUCCACGUGUGGGAUUUUGUAUGUACCAUAUGAAUAAGGAUCGGCUAACUCCGUGCCAGCAGCCGCGGUAAUACGGAGGAUGCGAGCGUUAUCCGGAUUUAUUGGGUUUAAAGGGUGCGUAGGCGGACGCUUAAGUCAGCGGUAAAAUGGCGGGGCUCAACCUCGUCGAGCCGUUGAAACUGGGUGCCUUGAGUGGGCGAGAAGAAGGCGGAAUGCGUGGUGUAGCGGUGAAAUGCAUAGAUAUCACGCAGAACCCCGAUUGCGAAGGCAGCCUUCCGGCGCCCUACUGACGCUGAGGCACGAAAGUGCGGGGAUCGAACAGGAUUAGAUACCCGAGUA
rnacentral:rRNA from 1 species